rnacentral:lncRNA from 10 species
GGUAUCUCUGAACCUGACGGUGCAACUGCACAGACAUCAGCAGAUGGUUCCCAGGCUCAGAAUCUGGAGUCCCGGACAAUAAUUCGGGGCAAGAGGACCCGCAAGGGUGGUACAGGCAGAACCAGUGGUGGACAUAGGAAGAGGAGAAGCCUCAGGCCCCAUCUUUGGGUUGCUCCUGGCCUGGCUCGGAGAUGAAACUCCUGCCUGGAAGACAGUGAAAGACAAACCCAGGACUCAGGGUGACCAAUGGCUAGUGGGUCAGGCUGUCACUACAGAUUAAUAACUUGAAUGUUGAAGAGAACAGCAGUGGGGAUCAGAGGCGGGCCCCACUGGCUGCAGGG